rnacentral:pre_miRNA from 1 species
UUUGAGCAUUUGAAAUGAAACCGUCGUAUCCAAUAAUGUAUUAAUAUUGACUCAACCAAGUGGAGAUUUGUAUACUUGGCUAUGAUCACACUUUAAAUGCAUGAA